rnacentral:rRNA from 1 species
UACGUAGGGAGCAAGCGUUGUCCGGAAUCAUUGGGCGUAAAGAGCGCGUAGGCGGUCCGGUAAGUCGGUUGUGAAAACUGGGGGCUCAACCCUCAGAGGCCGACCGAUACUGUCGGGCUAGAGUCCGGAAGAGGCGAGUGGAAUUCCUGGUGUAGCGGUGAAAUGCGCAGAUAUCAGGGGGAACACCAAUGGCGAAGGCGACGUGCUGGGUUGCACCUGACGCUGAGAUGCGAAAGUGUGGGGAGCAAACGGG